GCAAGUCGAACGGUAACAUUUCUAGCUUGCUAGAAGAUGACGAGUGGCGGACGGGUGAGUAAUGCUUGGGAACUUGCCUUUGCGAGGGGGAUAACAGUUGGAAACGACUGCUAAUACCGCAUAAUGUCUUCGGACCAAACGGGGCUUCGGCUCCGGCGCAAAGAGAGGCCCAAGUGAGAUUAGCUAGUUGGUAAGGUAACGGCUUACCAAGGCGACGAUCUCUAGCUGUUCUGAGAGGAAGAUCAGCCACACUGGGACUGAGACACGGCCCAGACUCCUACGGGAGGCAGCAGUGGGGAAUAUUGCACAAUGGGGGAAACCCUGAUGCAGCCAUGCCGCGUGUGUGAAGAAGGCCUUCGGGUUGUAAAGCACUUUCAGUUGUGAGGAAAAGUUAGUAGUUAAUACCUGCUAGCCGUGACGUUNACAACAGAAGAAGCACCGGCUAACUCCGUGCCAGCAGCCGCGGUAAUACG
rnacentral:rRNA from 1 species